AUGAUCCACUAGGGGAGCGAGAAGCUGAGAUUGACUCCGUCAAGACCCUUUGAACCUGAUCCGGGUGAUACCGGCGUAGGGAAGUGGCUGAUCAAAUUC
rnacentral:ncRNA from 2 species